ACCUUUUGUAUAAUGGGUCAGCGACUUAUAUUCUGUAGCAAGGUUAACCGAAUAGGGGAGCCGGAGGGAAACCGAGUCUUAACCGGGCGUUAAGUUGCAGGGUAUAGACCCGAAACCCGGUGAUCUAGCCAUGGGCAGGUUGAAGGUUGGGUAACACUAACUGGAGGACCGAACCGACUAAUGUUGAAAAAUUAGCGGAUGACCUGUGGCUGGGGGUGAAAGGCCAAUCAAACCGGGAGAUAGCUGGUUCUCCCCGAAAGCUAUUUAGGUAGCGCCUCGUGAAUUCAUCUCCGGGGGUAGAGCACUGUUUCGGCUAGGGGGCCAUCCCGGCUUACCAACCCGAUGCAAACUGCGAAUACCGGAGAAUGUUAUCACGGGAGACACACGGCGGGUGCUAACGUCCGUCGUGAAGAGGGAAACAACCCAGACCGCCAGCUAAGGUCCCAAAGUCAUGGUUAAGUGGGAAACGAUGUGGGAAGGCCCAGACAGCCAGGAUGUUGGCUUAGAAGCAGCCAUCAUUUAAAGAAAGCGUAAUAGCUCACUGGUCGAGUCGGCCUGCGCGGAAGAUGUAACGGGGCUAAACCAUGCACCGAAGCUGCGGCAGCGACACUGUGUGUUGUUGGGUAGGGGAGCGUUCUGUAAGCCUGUGAAGGUGU
rnacentral:rRNA from 1 species